CUUGCUGGAGGUCAGUUGGCUGAAACAGCUUUGUGGGAAAGGACCUAAAGUCCUGGUGGGCAGCAAGUUGAACAAGAGCCAUUGAUGUGCUCUUGUGCCCAUGCAGUUUAACAGUAUCCUGAGCUACAUUUGGAGGAGUGUCACCAGCAGGCUAAGAAAAUGAUAUUUCUCUUCUGUUCAGGAAUUAUCGACUCUGAUUCCGGGGAUGAAAUAAAAAUCAUGGCUUGGACUCCUAAUCCACCAUGUACUAUUCCAGCAGGAUCAUGCAUUGAUCAACUGAUACCAUCAACUGAUCAGGAGCUCACUGGCUACCUGUGAAGAACAUAAAACCCACCACAGAAGGAAUGAAGACUGGAAGGCAUCACAGUUUUGGCUUGGUUGCAGACUGAACCCUUCAGCAUCUGUGGAAUUUUCCAUUUUUCCAUUUCCCACAAGGCAUGAAUGGAGUAAGCUGUAUGAUCAGUUACAUGUGAUUGUAUAACUCCAGGAAAGAAUGCCUCAUGGUGUUUCAUGGCAACUGAAAUCACACAGCAAGUUAAAUCAAGGCUGGGUGCUGUAUUCUUUCUAGUAUUGCUUGGACUCAGGUGGAGCAGAUCUUGGGGACAGGGACAAGGCAGAGCAGGAGGUGCCAACAUGGGAUCUGUUUCCCAGCUUGACUUUCAAGUGACCUUGAAGCAGGGCCAGAAAGAGAAAUGUUGCUUAACAGGGCAGAGCUGAACUCAGUGCUGAGGAACUGCUCCUGCUGCUGGGAGACUUCAGUGAAUGCUCAGCAAACUGUCUGCUAGUUUCAGUCCCUCAGCUGGGAGCUGGUUCCUCCUCCAGGAUCAGCACCCACUCAGGAAUUCCUGGUGGGUGACCUUCCAUAAUGCUCCACCUGCUGCUAAGGAGAAUUAUGAUGAAUGUCUGUGGAAAUACCACAAAUAAUUAUGCGACCACUGUGGUUUUACAUGAGCUUUUGUGAGUGGGAUACAUUAGAAAUGAAACUCAGUUGUGAAAACAUGACAGUUGAAGACUAAAUUAUUAUUCUUUUGAAUCUCCAUAUUGCUUUUAAUUGCAGGUGUUUAUGAAAUGCACAGACAGCAGGGAGCAGUGAUUUAGGAGCCUCAGGCUUAUAUUAGGACAGCAAUGGCCAAUUCAGUUUGCCCUUGAUGAGAAAAACUGGUGAUAGAGUGAUAUUCUGCCUUCCAGUGUGUUCCUACUACUUUUACAGGUCUUUCAGUUUAACAGGAAUUACUGUCUCCCUAGAAGGGACAAUGGGGUACUCUUAAAACAGUUUAUGUAAUUUAGCCAUGACUAAUAAUUUGGUCUUAUUUACAUACUUUUUUAUCCUCAGGGGGAAGCUGAAAGACAAGCAUUUUGAUCACAGUUGCUAAGCUGUGCUUGCUGUCUGCUGUUCAAGCUGUUAAAAAUGAUCAGAAUUUUUCCACUGCAAUACCAAUUUAGCACAAAAAAUUGUUUUGUUUUGUUCUUUUUUUUGACUGUAAUUGAUUCGGUUUUACUAGAUGUGCCUCCUUCUGCACACCAAUUCAAUUUCUCAGCUGCAAAUCUAAGUAUAAUAAUAUGGGAACAUAGGUGUAUCACUGCUACCUCAGAUGAAGUUUCCCCCUAGCUGAGCAGCCUGUUUCUGAACAUGUACAAAGCUGAGCAAAUAUCUGAUUUUUUGGUUGAGAAUUCCCAUCUUCCUGCUAUUUUUUGCUCAGGAAAAUCCAUGAACAUAAUGGAAUUUUUCCACUUAGUCUCACGCAAAUACCUAACUAUUCUCCCUUUAAAUAUAUGCCAGCUUUUUAUACUCACAGAAUCCUUUAGCAAUGAACCCCACUAACACCCAAUUUGUGAUUUCAGCUGUAAACCUCAUGAAAACAAUGUUGUUUUCCCCAUUUUAUUCUGUA